rnacentral:rRNA from 1 species
UACAGAGGUCUCAAGCGUUGUUCGGAUUCAUUGGGCGUAAAGGGCGCGUAGGCGGCCUUCUAAGUCGAACGUGAAAUCCCCGGGCUCAACCCGGGAACUGCGUCCGAGACUGGAAGGCUUGAAUCCGGGAGAGGGAUGUGGAAUUCCAGGUGUAGCGGUGAAAUGCGUAGAUAUCUGGAGGAACACCGGUGGCGAAGGCGGCAUCCUGGACCGGUAUUGACGCUGAGGAGCGAAAGCCAGGGGAGCAAAGCGGG